GCCAUACCGCGUGGGUGAAGAAGGCCUUCGGGUUGUAAAGCCCUUUUGUUGGGAAAGAAAUCCAGCCGGCUAAUACCUGGUUGGGAUGACGGUACCCAAAGAAUAAGCACCGGCUAACUUCGUGCCAGCAGCCGCGGUAAUACGAAGGGUGCAAGCGUUACUCGGAAUUACUGGGCGUAAAGCGUGCGUAGGUGGUUGUUUAAGUCUGUUGUGAAAGCCCUGGGCUCAACCUGGGAACUGCAGUGGAAACUGGACGACUAGAGUGUGGUAGAGGGUAGCGGAAUUCCUGGUGUAGCAGUGAAAUGCGUAGAGAUCAGGAGGAACAUCCAUGGCGAAGGCAGCUACCUGGACCAACACUGACACUGAGGCACGAAAGCGUGGGGAGCAAACAGGAUUAGAUACCCUGGUAGUCCACGCCCUAAACGAUGCGAACUGGAUGUUGGGUGCAAUUUGGCACGCAGUAUCGAAGCUAACGCGUUAAGUUCGCCGCCUGGGGAGUACGGUCGCAAGACUGAAACUCAAAGGAAUUGACGGGGGCCCGCACAAGCGGUGGAGUAUGUGGUUUAAUUCGAUGCAACGCGAAGAACCUUACCUGGCCUUGACAUGUCGAGAACUUUCCAGA
rnacentral:rRNA from 1 species